CACGUAUUUAGCCGGAGCUUCUUAGUCAGGUACCGUCAUUUUCUUUCCUGCUGAUAGAGCUUUACAUACCGAAAUACUUCUUCGCUCACGCGGCGUCGCUGCAUCAGGGUUUCCCCCAUUGUGCAAUAUUCCCCACUGCUGCCUCCCGUAGGAGUCUGGGCCGUGUCUCAGUCCCAAUGUGGCCGUCCACCUCUCAGGCCGGCUACUGAUCGUUGCCUUGGUGGGCCGUUACCCCGCAACCAGCUAAUCAGACGCGGGCCCAUCCGCACCACCGGAGUUUUUCACACCGCUUCAUGCGAAGCUGUGCGCUUAUGCGGUAUUAGCAGCCGUUUCCAGCUGUUGUCCCCCAGUGCGGGCAGGUUGCCCACGCGUUACUCACCCGUCCGCCACUCAGUCGCAGGCCUCUCCUUCCCGAAGGGAAUUCAAAAGCAGGCGCUUCGUCGAUUGCAUGUGUUAAGCACGCCGCCAGCGUUCAGUACCUGACGCGAGGUACUACUAAAA
rnacentral:rRNA from 1 species